rnacentral:rRNA from 1 species
AUUGAACGCUGGCGGCAGGCCUAACACAUGCAAGUCGAGCGAGCGGCGGACGGGUGAGUAAUGUAUGGGGACUGCCCGAUAGAGGGGGAUAACUACUGGAAAAGGUGGCUAAUACCGCAUACUAUCGGAUAACCCAUAUGGGAUUAGCUAGUAGGUGGGGUAAAGGCUCACCUAGGCGACGAUGCAUAGCUGGUCUGAGAGGGUGAUCAGCCACACUGGGACUGAGACACGGCCCAGACUCCGACGGAGGCAGCAGUGGGGAAUAUUGCGCAAUGGGCGCAAGCCUGAGCGAGCAAUGCCGCGUGUAUGAAGAAGGCCUUAGGGUUGUAAAGCUCUUUCGGCAGGGAGGCGUUACCCGCAGAGGAAGCAACGGCUAACUCCGUGCCAGCAGCCGCGGUAAUUC